CAGAGUGACAGGUGGUGCAUGGUUGUCGUCAGCUCGUGUCGUGAGAUGUUGGGUUAAGUCCCGCAACGAGCGCAACCCUUGAUCUUAGUUGCCAGCAUUCAGUUGGGCACUCUAAGGUGACUGCCGGUGACAAACCGGAGGAAGGUGGGGAUGACGUCAAAUCAUCAUGCCCCUUAUGACCUGGGCUACACACGGGCUACAAUGGGCAGAACAAAGGGCAGCGAAACCGCGAGGUUAAGCCAAUCCCACAAAUCUGUUCUCAGUUCGGAUCGCAGUCUGCAACUCGACUGCGUGAAGCUGGAAUCGCUAGUAAUCGCGGAUCAGCAUGCCGCGGUGAAUACGUUCCCGGGCCUUGUACACACCGCCCGUCACACCACGAGAGUUUGUAAC
rnacentral:rRNA from 1 species